UACGGGGGGGGGCAAGCGUUGUUCGGAAUUACUGGGCGUAAAGGGCUCGUAGGCGGCCAACUAAGUCAGACGUGAAAUCCCUCGGCUUAACCGGGGAACUGCGUCUGAUACUGGAUGGCUUGAGAUUGGGAGAGGGAUGCGGAAUUCCAGGUGUAGCGGUGAAAUGCGUAGAUAUCUGGAGGAAUACCGGUGGCGAAGGCGGCAUCCUGGACCGACAUUGACGCUGAGGAGCGAAAGCUAGGGGAGCAAACGGG
rnacentral:rRNA from 1 species